GAUGAACGCUGGCGGCGUGCCUAAUACAUGCAAGUCGAGCGAAAAGACGAGGAGCUUGUUCCUCUGAUGUUACCGGCGGACGGGCGAGUAACACGUGGAUAACCUACCUAUAAGACUGGGAUAACUUCGGGAAACCGGAGCUAAUACCGGAUAACAUGGUGAACCGCAUGGUUCAACAGUGAGAGACGGUCUUGUUGUCACUUAUAGAUGGAUCUGCGUCGCAUUAGCUAGUUGGUAAGGUAACGGCUUACCAAGGCAACGAUGCGUAGCCGACCUGAGAGGGUGAUCAGCCACACUAGAACUGAGACACGGUCCAGACUCCUACGGGAGGCAGCAGUAGAGAAUCUUACGCAAUGGGCGAAAGCCUGACGGAACAACGCCGCGUAGGUGAAAAAAAUCUUCGGAUCGGAGAACUCUGUUAUUAGGGAAGAACAAAUGUGUAAGUAACUAUGCACGUCUUGACGGUACCUAAUCAGAAAGCCACGGCUAACUACGUG
rnacentral:rRNA from 1 species